GACGAACGCUGGCGGCGUGCCUAAUACAUGCAAGUAGAACGCUGAAGAGAGGAGCUUGCUCUUCUUGGAUGAGUUGCGAACGGGUGAGUAACGCGUAGGUAACCUGCCUUGUAGCGGGGGAUAACUAUUGGAAACGAUAGCUAAUACCGCAUAACAAUGUAUGACACAUGUCAUUUAUUUGAAAGGGGCAAUUGCUCCACUACAAGAUGGACCUGCGUUGUAUUAGCUAGUAGGUGAGGUAAUGGCUCACCUAGGCGACGAUACAUAGCCGACCUGAGAGGGUGAUCGGCCACACUGGGACUGAGACACGGCCCAGACUCCUACGGGAGGCAGCAGUAGGGAAUCUUCGGCAAUGGGGGCAACCCUGACCGAGCAACGCCGCGUGAGUGAAGAAGGUUUUCGGAUCGUAAAGCUCUGUUGUAAGUCAAGAACGGGUGUGAGAGUGGAAAGUUCACACUGUGACGGUAGCUUACCAGAAAGGGACGGCUAACUACGUG
rnacentral:rRNA from 1 species